CUACUAUACUCAAGGACGUGCACAGUCGGAUUCCUGACUUGGCUAGCGAAGGCCAUCGAGUCAAACACUCCGGAUAUUCCCAUACUGACUCAGUGCCUUAUCUUUAGCUUUGACUCGUUCGUAGGAAUCGGGGACUAUUUAUCUCCUUUGAAGUAGAAUGAAUCCUAUCUGUAAAAUUCGUUGAUCUUAAUAAAAAUGAUGCAGAAAUGAAUCAGAUAUUGAAAGGUGUCAAUAUUUUUAUUUUUGAUUAAGAUUCCAAGCAAAGAAAUGUAAGCAUAAUUAUGGACACCAUUUAUCCGCGUAAGCGCAUCCUUCCGGAAAGAAGUGCAGUGAUCAAUGUAUACGAUUCAAUGUCAAAUGUUGUUCCUCUCCUCAUGUUUCUCGGAGAGUUUUUGUCAAUUCUGUGGAUUAUUGUGAAUUAAUCGGCCCGUCUAUGCGCAAGGAUAGUUUGAUUUCACCAUGCCGAAUAAAUGUGGGGUUGUAAACUGCAAGGUAACUAGAAUAAAGACAAUACAUGUCGAGUGCUCAAGGUACCAAAAGAAGGACUUGAGGGACAAAGAUGGCUUUCUGUUUUACCCCCUCGUGAAAACUUAUCUGUGAAAGGCAUUGGCCAUCAGAUUAUCCUGUGAUUAAAUUACCUGGAGGAUACACUCGACCAAUAGAUCCGCCGAGUUUUUUUGAUGUUCCCUCGUCUUGCCUACCAACGCCAAAACCACCCCCUCGUCCAUCCAAACAAGAAGAUCAGCAACUCCGUCAUUUCAUGAAAAAAGGCAAAAUCUGUAGCCUUUCAGAAUUUUCUCCAGAAAAGGAACUCCACAAGAAAUAUGACAAUUUAAUUCUUUCAAGAACAGAGGACAGAUUUGUUUGCCUGUUUAUGACCGAGCAUUGUGAAGAGUGUGUUUUAUCAGUAGUUGUUGAGAAUAAACCAACAUUGUGCUCCCCUCUUACACUCACCGCAUUCAAGAAAGGAUCCAGAGUUCCCUGGGAAAAAUAUUAAAUCCAAAUAACGGAUUGAAUUCCUACACCCAAUUUUUUGAGUGUGUGCACGUCGACCUAAACUAUAAAGUUCCUUUGGAUGUUGUGCUUGAGAGAGUUGUGGAAGUAUUGGAACAAUCACGUUGCACAAAACUUGAAGACCCAAAGGAAAAGAAAAGGGAAAGAAAGCUAGACUUUAUAACUCAUCAGCUGAAACUGUUGACUCACAAACAAUUUUCUGUAAGUGAUUGCUGUUUCGCUAUCGAAUCGUUUCCCCGCUGCAGUUAUGAACAACUAAGAGACACUUUGGUCUAGCCAAGUACAAGAAAAAUAAAGUCUGUUGUUUCCUCCUUAGAGAUUGAAAGUGUUUUUUUAAAAACAUUUCAAAAACUUAAAACACCUCAACAAAAGAAUGUGUUUUUAUUGAUCGACGAGGUAAAGAUCCGACCCACUGUAGCUUUCUCUGGUGGUGUCCUCAGCGGCAUGGCCAAAAAUGAACCGGAUUCUAGAGCGACAUCCAUGUUAUGUAUCAUGGUCAAAUGCUUGCAUGGUGGACCUAGCAUUAUGAUGUCAGUGAUACCAGUACAUAAACUUACAGCAUCAUUUCAAUUCGAGGCUGUGAAGGAGGCUACGGCUCUAGUAGAAAAGACAGGAGGCAUUGUGAACCCCCUAUAUGUCUACGUAUGAACUGACUAGGAUUGGACUUUCCUUUGUAAAGAAAGCAAAAAAUAGAGUAUGUUGUCGUCAGAGACUUGUUGGAAUUCUAUCAACCAUGGGGGAAUUUAACGACUUCGACAUCGUUCAGUCCAAGAAACUGCUCCGUCAUCUCGCAAAUGUCUUACUCCGCGGUCUGCACAAUCUAGAGAAGGAUCACCAAAAGAAUGCAGCCCUGCUACAGACAUCCAUCAAGAAGGCACGUAAGGCGGAUUCACUUGGCGAUCUCAGCUCUGUACUUUGCGAAAUCUGGGAGCCAUCGAGGAAAAGAGAGGUGUAACGUUUGGAGAGAAAGCCUUUGGCUUUGGCGCACUGACUCAGAAAAUUGGAUGUCUCCAGUCCUAUUACACAAAACCUCUGAGGUCGUUCAACUCUUUCCACUGCUAAUGUGAGAAGCAGUGGUGGCCACGUUGCUGCACAGCACCAGCACAGAUGGAGACCCACAUCCUGACAGAUGCCCACUUACUGGUGAAAACAACUGGUGCUUUUACAUUAUAACACAGACAGGUCAAACACAGAAGACUAAAAAUCACGCAUCCGUAGAACUGUGCCUGCGGUCCCGGGUUGUUUUUUUCCUUCU
rnacentral:lncRNA from 1 species